CGCCCGGGGCGCGCCCCGGGCGGGGCGGGGGCACGGGGGGAACCGUCGACAGUCAGGUAACGAGCGAGACCCGUGUUCUUAGUUGCCCACUGGCCCGCAAGGGUGGCAGUGCACACUAAGAGGACUGCCCUGGAAACAGGGAGGAAGGCGCGGGCAACGCCAGGUCUGUACGCCCCGAAUCUGUUGGGCAACACGCGCGCAACAAUGGUGCGGACAAUGGGAUGCAACGCCGAAAGGCGAAGCCAAACCUCUAAACCGCGCCCUAGUAUGGAUUGAGGAUUGCAACUCAUCCUCAUGACACCGGAAUGCCUAGUAAUCGGAGUUUAGCAGACUCCGGUGAACACGUCCCUGCUCCUUCACGAAUUCGCCG
rnacentral:rRNA from 1 species